GGCCCCGUAGCUCAGUGGAUAGAGCGACCGCCUCCUAAGCGGUAGGUCACAGGUUCAAAUCCUGUCGGGGUCACCA
rnacentral:tRNA from 1 species